rnacentral:rRNA from 1 species
GCGUGAGUGAAGAAGGCCUUUGGGUUGUAAAGCUCUUUCGUCGGGGAAGAAAAUGACUGUACCCGAAUAAGAAGGUCCGGCUAACUUCGUGCCAGCAGCCGCGGUAAUACGAAGGGACCUAGCGUAGUUCGGAAUUACUGGGCUUAAAGAGUUCGUAGGUGGUUAAAAAAGUUGGUGGUGAAAUCCCAGAGCUUAACUCUGGAACUGCCAUCAAAACUUUUUAGCUAGAGUAUGAUAGAGGAAAGCAGAAUUUCUAGUGUAGAGGUGAAAUUCGUAGAUAUUAGAAAGAAUACCAAUUGCGAAGGCAGCUUUCUGGAUCAUUACUGACACUGAGGAACGAAAGCAUGGGUAGCGAAGAGGAUUAGAUACCCUCGUAGUCCAUGCCGUAAACGAUGUGUGUUAGACGUUGGAAAUUUAUUUUCAGUGUCGCA